GCAGACAAGCCUGGGCUUGUCAGCAUCGCGACGGGAAGGUUUGAGAAAGAGAGACAGAAUCCCACGGGCUCCUGUGAACAGGGCCACCUCUGACUCACCCUCUUCACUGCAGCUCGCCACAGAGCCGGCCCAGAUUCAAGGGCGGGUGAACAGACCCUGCUUCUUGAUGGGAGGGGCCGGCAAGCCCCCAUCGCAGAGGACGCAGACCCGGGGACCGAAUUUGCCGUAAAUCGAACACCACUUGUGAUACCCAUGAUAUUCAGUAAGGUACAAUUCCCAACAACAAAGUACCCGACAACGAAGCAAUUGGAAAAGUCGUUUGGAGUUGGCUGUUUUGGGACCUGCUACUUGCGAAUGUCAGAACGAUUUCGGGACUGGCUUCUCGGAGAUGGGGCCUGGGAACGGCAUGUGAAGCAUCUGGAAGAGGGGCAGCCUUCAUGGCAAAUGAUCGCACAUGCGCGGCGGUGUGGCCGGGAAGAAGACAGCUUUCGAUUUCAUCCAUCGGGUGCCACAGUCAGACACACUGAUGCCCAGUCACCCUCGGGCAGGCAGCUUCUAAGCUCAAAAUAGAGACACCUUUGGUGACUGGAGCUUUAGGAAGAGAGAAGGCCGGAGAGGCAACAGGGAUGAAUGUGAAGAUACUACAGGCCAAACAGCCGGGGCCUCACUGGAGGAACAUGCUUCUUCACUUAGACUGGUCAGGCACAAAUUCAGUGCAGCACGGGCAGUGGCUUCUGUCGAAGGUGACAGUCUGGCCGCGAUACGUCCAAAGUGCCCCCCUGCCAGCUCUAGACAAGGAACCGUGUCCAGAGAAGGCCUGGCCGCUGGUCGGGUCUCAGUUAAGUGCGUACUAGACAAAUGCACGGCGGGUUGCAGCCGAGACUUCGUGGCAGGUAUUGACGCAGAUGCUGUUGGUGACGGCCUCUCCCCCAUCCCUUGGCUCCUACGUUUCUGUGCAGCCGGUAGACUCCCAACGGUGACCAUCUGUAUCUCCUUGCCUACGCUGUCCACACGCUGGGUGGGCUGGAAAUGCCAGGGAGGUGCCCUCCCCGCUCAGGCAACCCCCUUAGCCCUGACUGAGGGGAGCUGGUGGAUAAAUGCCCAGGUCCCUCCCCCCAGCAUGGGACGCGAGAUAACCCCCGGUCAUGAUCCCGGAUGGCGUCCAGAGUCCCCAGAGCACUGAGCCACAAUAGGAACUUAUUUGACAACAGACCCCUUCCUGGCUUUCUGCCUGUCUCUGUCACCGCCCCCUCCCAUACCUGUGUGUCCUGUUGUCACCGCCCCCCCACCCCCCCACCCCCGCACUGGAAUGUAUGUCUCUGAUUCUACUUCUGGGGGAAUCCAUCCAAGAGGUGUGGAGCCCCUCGCCAUUCCGGAGCCUGAAGUGCAGCCUCCAAGAUAACAGUGCUGGGCAGUGAAUCCCGGGGGCGGGAGAUGCAUAGACCAGAGGGCCAAGCCCCCCUGUCACUGGCUUUCUUUUCUCUCCCAAGCACCUUCUUAGGGAUUGUCCUAACUUGCUGUUAACCAGACUCUGUGUGCCUUUUAGCACAGAGACGGCACAAGGAAAGGGCGUAUUUCUAUUUAGAUCUUCACUAGCAAUAAUUUAGGGUGACAGAAUAGGCCACCCAUCCUAAGUGACAGGAGAGCCGGGAAGCUGUCCAUCCUAUUCUGUUUUUUCAUUACGUUUUUUUCAAUGUUUAUUUUUGAGACAGAGCAUGAGCAGGAGGAGGGGCAGAGGGAGAAUGAGACACAGAACCCGAAGCAGGUUCCAGGCUCUGAGCUGUCAGCACAGAGCCCGACGCGGGACUCGAACCCAUGAACCGCGAGAUCACGGCCUGAGCCGAAGUCGGAUGCUUCACCGACUGAGCCCCCCAGGCACCUCUGUCCUAUUCUUCAUUGUAUUUCCAACGCCUAGAACAGUGCCGGGCACAAAGUAGAUGCAGGACAAACGUUAGAUGAAUGCAUCAAAUUCAUCUGCCUCCGAGAAUCAUACUGUUUUCUAAAUAGUGUUUGCAGGUUCUGUAUUUUGCUGCGUGUUCUAAUGCCGGCCUUGUCUGUAAGUUCUGUGUCACCAGUGUUCCCCGCAACCACAGCUCACAGUGCCUUGGAUCCAUUUCUCUGACCAGCUUUCAUAUUGCCGAACGAAUUCUGCAAGGUGUAAAACGUUUGUAUCAAUUUUAUUAAAAUUCUAUUUCCAGUC